rnacentral:tRNA from 1 species
CAAGAAGUAGCUUACACCCCACCAAAGCACUCAACUUACAAUUGAGACACGUCCCAUUAAGACCUUCUUGCGCCAAACCAAUAGCCCUAACCCACACACAAAAUGUUUACUACUAACAAAACUAAAACAUUCGCAAUACCCAGUAUAUGAGAUAGAACGCUACACCUGGCG